rnacentral:piRNA from 1 species
UGCAGGGCGCUGGACAGCUUACUACGGA